rnacentral:tRNA from 1 species
UAAUAAUUAGUUUAUAGGAACAUUGUAAUUUGACUACAAAUGAAGUAGUGUAAUUCUACUAUUAUUAA